rnacentral:ncRNA from 1 species
ACCACCCACGGGGGAGAGACCGCCCGACCCACCGGCGGCGCCGAAGGGGCAUAUCCUCCCCGGAACCUCUCAGGCAAAAGGACCUCGUGGGCAGG